UACGAAGGGGACUAGCGUUGUUCGGAAUUACUGGGCGUAAAGCGCACGUAGGCGGAUUGCUAAGUCAGGGGUGAAAUCCCGGGGCUCAACCUCGGAACUGCCUUUGAUACUGACAAUCUCGAGUCCGAUAGAGGUGGGUGGAAUUCCUAGUGUAGAGGUGAAAUUCGUAGAUAUUAGGAAGAACACCGGUGGCGAAGGCGGCCCGCUGGAUCGGUACUGACGCUGAGGUGCGAAAGCGUGGGGAGCAAACAGG
rnacentral:rRNA from 1 species